GCCGAAGUGGUGAAAUGGCAGACACGCUACGUUCAGGUCGUAGUGCUCGCAAGGGCGUGCGGGUUCAAAUCCCGCUUUCGGCACCA
rnacentral:tRNA from 1 species